GAAAAAUGUAAACACUAUAAACAGAAAAAGCGGUGAAAAUUUGAAAAGCUAUAUUUGGACUAUAUUUGUAAAAUUAAUUAAUGAAUUUGGAAGACAAUUGAAGGCUAGAAAUAUAAUUAAAAUAAUUACUUUGUUGCGACACGUUUGUAAUCAAAGGAGAUUGAAUUCUUAAGCUACUAUAUACACACUCAAUAGAGAGUCGUUGUUUUGCUGGAAGAACUCCGAUAAAGUCUGUCGUAACA